rnacentral:misc_RNA from 1 species
UCUCCGUUGGUGAACCAGCGGAGGGAUCAUUACAGGACUCGCAAGACUCCUUCACCCUGUGGACCUCACUACAAGCACGUUGCUUCGGCGGGUGUCCCGGCGGGGGUUUUCCCUCGCCGGGGCGCACAGCCCGCCGGCAGCCGACUAUACUCUGUCUCUUUGCGUUGGCAUCUCGAGAAAAAACAAACAAGUUAAAACUUUCAACAACGGAUCUCUUGGUUCUG